rnacentral:rRNA from 1 species
GUUUCCGUAGGUGAACCUGCGGAAGGAUCAUUAUCGGUUUUUCGUGGCAUUCAUUUGCUGUCGGAAACAUUCGAUUAUCAAUUUGAACGUCAGUUGCCCGUUAUCACAAAUGGAACGACUGGCAAUUGUUGUGAUUGAGGUUGUCAUUGAAUGCUCUGGAGUUGUAUCCUGGUCUUUACGUAGGGCAACAUGGAUAAAGACGUCGGGUGAACUUCUUAAAUUGGAGCCUGACAAUUAUCAAUGUGCAACUUUGUCGGCGUUUCUCCUUGACGCCUGUUGGUGCCUAGCCUACAGUUCCUGUCCAUCCUCGGGAUGGUCGUGGAUGUAGUGUGUCGCUUCAACAAAGUGCCGCUAGGUUUAAAUACUGGAUUCGAAUUAUUCGAAUGUCGGAGCCACAGGUACAAGGUAUUUCUUUUUCAUUUAUGAAAAACAUUGAGCCAGAAUCAUUGUAUCAUUGAAUUUGUGAUUCUCUACGUAGAAUUGCAAACAAAAAAAAAUAACUACUGCCAGUGGUGGAUCACUCGGCUCGCUGGUCGAGGAAGAACGCAGCUAGCUGCGUUAAUCGGUGUGAAAUGCAGGACACUCCGAUCACUCGACAUUCGAACGCACAUUGCAGCCAUUGGAUAGCCGAUGGCUUCGUUUGUCUGAGCGUCGUUAUCAAAUUGUGACAAAUCAAAUGCGGUAGGUCCGAAUCGUCGUGAUGUCAAAUUGCGUCGUCGGAUCAUCUCCAAACAUUUGAUAUGCUGACUCUUGUGGUGAAGAAGGCUUUGUCGCACAUUCACUCAGGAGGUAUUUAGCGUUUCCAGCUAAACGCCCGGAAUGUGUGCCUUUUGCUACUUUCAAGUCAACAGAUCAUUGUUCCAAAACAAAUGUCUAAUUUCGACCUCAGAUCAAGCGAGACUA